UCAUCUGAUCCUCAGAUCCUCAGCAGGACGGAGCACCUGCAAGAGGCCGGCAGGAUGAGAGCCGCAGGGCGGGGAAGUCUUUCACUGGCCCAGAUGUCAGCUUCAGGCCGAGGGAUCUUCAGGGAAAACCUCUUCCCCUGCCUGCCAGCGAGAAGCGUCCCGAAGCUGCACCUGCAACGGUUUAAUAUUGUGUGUUCAGAUGACGGAGGCCACGGGGGAACCGCCUCCUCACCACUCUGACGGAGGCUGACAGUCUCAGCUUUAAUCAGAUCCAGAAAACCAGAGACUCUCGGAGCAACCCAUCAGGGAGCGCAGCCCAGAGGGCUCCUCUGACUCAGAUGCAGUGCGGUGAACAAUAAACUACAAUCUGUCAA